CUCUGAAUAUGCUCCUGGCUUGACUAUAGCAUGCACCAAAUACUCUUCAGUGGUAUUUCACAAUUCUGGCUGGGAUCAAAGUUGCAGCAGAAUCUAAUCCCUAGGAGAAGUCACAAGCCAUAGCAGCUCUUGAAACAAUUAAAUUUGGGAUUUGCAAAUGCCUGCCUCUGUCUAGAAUCGUGUCUCAUUGUCACGCAUUGAGUCAAUUCAGUAUUCAUGUUACAAAUGUUCAUUGAGUCAUUAACCUUUACUAGAUGCUUUUCUAGUUUGUAGGAUAACUGAUGGUGACUCCCUAUAGCAUGAGCUACUGGGGCUCAAUAGCAGAGUGUCAUGAUCUGCCAUGGCAUUAUGUAGUGUAAUGGCGAUACUGUGUCAUUUGUCUUCACGACCUGAAAACAGUUGUAUUAGUCAGGGUGCCAUAGAGAAAACAAUAUGAAUAUGAUAUCUUGUGGAAAUGGUGUGAGUCAAGUCAAAAGGUCUGAGAAAAGUAACCUCUGAUGUUUAAGUGUAGAAGAGGACUUUUCCUGCUCAAAGGAAACAGAAGAUCUUCAUUUCCUCUGCUUCUUUGCUCUACUCAGUUGCUCAACAGAUUGGAUGGUGCCUGCCUGUGUGGAUGAAGACAGUCAUUACCCAGCCUAUUCAUGCUACCUUCUGGAACAAUGUUUUACCAGCUAUAUGGGCAUCCUUUAGCCUCAUCAAGUACCAUCACAUUAACCUUCUAUAUGAUGCUAGUCAACAUUCUGUUAAUGUCAAUUAUUAGGACUCUUGUUGAUUUGAAGACCUUCAAAUUCUUCACUCAGGUACUACAUGUUUACCCAGGUGCACUCAGGCAGUGCCUCACUUCUGAUGAACUGCAUGGUCACUGACUCCUCUGACUCCAUGAUGUAUGAGGAUACCAGAGCUACACAUCUGCAUGUAUGACUGGUAGGACAUGCACCUCCUAUUACCCUUUCUCCC
rnacentral:lncRNA from 1 species